rnacentral:lncRNA from 1 species
GAGGAGAGAGAGGAAGAGGGAGAGACAGGCAGACAGAGAGAGAAUGAUGCAAUAAGUCUAUGCUGUUGAGUAAGAGGAGGCCUAUAGAAACAUGUUUUAUUGCUUUCUCAUUUCACCAUUUCAGGUAUAAUAUAGAGCUUCCCUGAGUUAUGGCUUUUAUAUCAAGAGUCAGCUUCCAUUCCAAGGGACAUAGUAACAUCUGAGAGAAUGAGAAAAAAAAUGUUCUUCAAAGGAGGGAGAGAGAAAAUGGCUCAUCAGUCAUAUCCUCACUGAGGGACUGACCAAUCUGAAUCCACCCAGCUGAGCUACCUGUGCAAAGUUUUGCAAGAGCCUUGGUAAUCCAGCCGUAGAAUGAAAAGAAGUGGGAUGUGGAAGGGGAGGCAACAGGACCUUGGGAGGAUCCCUGGAAGCUUCCUGAGGAGCAACAGCCUCCCAGGGUCAAGCAGACAUUCCCGGAGUGGCAUCUUCCGAUUACUUCUGAGAUCCACAGAACCCACCAGAAUGGCCAGCCUUGUACCUUAUGAUCAAUACUCCAAGAUUUUAAAUUUGGUGAUCGUGAUGAUCCUUUCUGAUUUUAUCUUCACUAAUUUCUAUCUUUUGUACAUCCCUUCACCUUAAAGAAGUGGCACUUUGGCCUCAUGGACUGGAAUAUGGUGGCACAAUUAUGGCUCACAGCAGCCUCAAACUCCUGGACUCAAGCAAUUCUCCCACAUCCUGGGUCUCUAGGACUACAGGUGCACACCACCAUGCCUGGCUCUUCAUUUUUGUUUUUUUCUAAUCCUAGCUAAUCUCAUUCUUUUAGUCCCUUGCUUCACCAAGGAGUCUGGGACUCCAAGUCAAGUAAUUUCUUUCCUUUUUUUUUUUUCUUUUGAGAUAGGGUUUCUCUCUGUCGCCCAGGCUGGAUUGGAGUGCAGUGGUAUGCUAUCAGCUCCCUGCAACCUCCAUCUCCCAGGCUUAAAUGAUUCUCAUGCCUCAGUCUCCCAAGUAGCUGGGAUUACAGGUGUGCACCACCACGCCCAGCUAAUUUUUGUAUUUUUUGCAGAGGGAGGUUUUCGCCAUAUUUUCCAGACAGGUCUCAAACUCUUGGCCCUAAGUAAUCUGCCCGCCUUGGCCUCCCAAAAUGCUAGAGUUACUGGCAUGAGCCACUGCACCUGACGGGACAAGUUAUUUCAACACUGUCUUCUUGAACCCUCAUUCCACCCUUUAAGUUUGCUUGAUGCUUCCACAUUAAUUACAACCCUGAUCAUCUCCACUUUCUUUUCCAUCUCCACACCUAAGCAU